UGAGUUUGAUCCUGGCUCAGGAUGAACGCUAGUAGUAUGCUUAACACAUGCAAGUCGAACGGAAAACAUAUAUUUUCGUGGCGAACGGGUGAGUACAUGCAGAAUUUUACCUUUCAGUCCUGAACAAAAAUUUUCUUUAGAAAAUUCAAAUGCGGGAUAAAUUUUAAAGGUUCGUGUCGAGGUAAAAGAUGAGUUUUCUCACCUUUUACUCGUACGUUCCGCUGUAAGAUAAAUCUGCUUAGGAUUAGGUUGUUGGUAAUUUAAAAGCUUACCAAGCCUACGAUCCUUAGUUGGUCUUAGAAGGAUGAUCAACCACACUGGAACUGAAAUAAGGUCCAGGCUGACGCGUCGGCCAGCAGUGAGGAAUAUUGGACAAUGAACGAAAGUUUGAUCCAGCAAUACUAACUGGGUUAUGACGGCUUAUUUAAGUUGUAAGAUCCUUUAAUUAAAGAAGAUAAUGACAUUAUUUAAUUGAAUUUUAGUCCUGGCUAAUACUCGUGCCAGCAGCCGCGGUAAUACGGGAAGGGCAAGCGUUAUCCGGCAUGACUGGGCGUAAAGAGUCCGUAGACUGUAAAGUAAGUUCUUUGUUAAAUUUUAAGACUCAAUCUUAACACAGCAAUUAAUACUGCUUUACUUUGAGUUUAAUACAGAAAAGUAGAAUUUUAUACGAUAGGGGUGAAAUCCGCAGAUAUAUAAAGGAAUGCCAAUAGCGAAGGCAACUUUUUGGUAUAAACUGACGUUGAGGGACGAAAGUGUGGGUAGCAAACAGGAUUAGAGACCCUGGUAGUCCACACCGUAAAUUCUGAGUGCUGUAAUUUAAUUGUAAUAUAAAAAUAUAUUAUUUAGAUUUUCAAGCUAACGCAAUAAGCACUCCGCCUGAAGAGUACGAUCGCAAGAUUGGAACUCAAAGGAAUUGACGGGGGUCUAACACUAGUGGUGGAGCAUGUGGUUUAAUGCGAUAAUCCGCGCAAAACCUUACCAAUUCUUGACAUAGCAGAAUCAAUUACCUUAAAAAAUGUAAAAAGUUUUGAUGGGAUAAUUAUUCUUUUACAGGUGCUGCACGACUGUCGUCAGCUCGUGUCGUGAGAUGUUUGGUUAAGUCCUGAAACGGGCGCAACUCUUACUUUUAACAAAGCUUUUUACGUACUAAAAUAUGAAUAUAUCUUAUAUUUUACACGCUUUUAAAGUACGGUCAACGAUAAGUUGAAGGAAGGUAAGAAUUAAGUCAAGUCAAUGUGACCCUAAUGAAUUGGGCUACACAUGUGCUACAAUGAAAAUUACAAAACGUGACAAAAAAGAAAUUUUGAGUUAAUCAACAAAAGUUUUCCCAGUUCGGAUUGUAGACUGCAACUCGUUUACAUGAAGCUGGAAUCACUAGUAAUCGCAAAUCAGAACGUUGCGGUGAACAUGUAACUUGGCCUUGUACACACCGCCCGUCACUUGCAAAGAAUUAGUUUCGCUCGAAGGUUUUUAUAAAACCCAUUGAGAGAUUGAUAAUUUGGAUGAAGUCGUAACAAGGUAGCUGUACGGGAACGUGUAGCUG
rnacentral:rRNA from 1 species